rnacentral:rRNA from 1 species
UACGAAGGGGGCUAGCGUUGCUCGGAAUUACUGGGCGUAAAGCGCACGUAGGCGGCUCUUUAAGUCGGGGGUGAAAUCCUGGAGCUCAACUCCAGAACUGCCUUCGAUACUGGAAGCUCGAGUCCGGGAGAGGUGAGUGGAACUGCGAGUGUAGAGGUGAAAUUCGUAGAUAUUCGCAAGAACACCAGUGGCGAAGGCGGACUCACUGGCCCGGUACGUGAC